GUAAAGAAUCUUCCACAAUGGGCGCAAGCCUGAUGGAGCGAUACCGCGUGAAUGAUGAAGGUCGAAAGAUUGUAAAAUUCUUUUCUGAGGGAAGAACUAUGACGGUACCUCAGGAAUAAGCACCGGCUAACUCCGUGCCAGCAGCCGCGGUAAUACGGAGGGUGCAAGCGUUACCCGGAAUUAUUGGGCGUAAAGCGUCCGCAGGUGGUUAAUUAAGUUGAAUAUUAAAUCUGAAGGCUCAACCUUCAGGCUGUAUUCAAAACUAAUUGACUAGAGACUUCCAGAGGCAAGUGGAAUUCUGUGUGUAGGGGUAAAAUCCGUAGAUACACAGAGGAACACCAAAAGCGAAGGCAGCUUGCUGGGGAAGUUCUGACACUCAUGGACGAAAGCGUGGGGAGCGAACGGGAUUAGAAACCCCAGUAGUCC
rnacentral:rRNA from 1 species